GACGAACGCUGGCGGCGCGCUUAACACAUGCAAGUCGAACGGAAAGGCCUGCUUUCCCUUGUGGAUUGCGGGUACUCGAGUGGCGAACGGGUGAGUAACACGUGAGUGAUCUGCCCCUAACUUGGGUAUAAGCCUGGGAAACUGGGUCUAAUUCCCGAUAGGACUGCAGGGUGGUGCCUGUGGUGGAAAACGAUUUUCUAGUGGUUGGGGAUGAGCUCGCGGCCUAUCAGCUUGUUGGUGGGGUAAUGGCCUACCAAGGCGGCGACGGGUAGCCGGCCUGAGAGGGUGGACGGCCACAUUGGGACUGAGAUACGGCCCAGACUCCUACGGGAGGCAGCAGUGGGGAAUAUUGCACAAUGGGCGGAAGCCUGAUGCAGCGACGCCGCGUGGGGGAUGACGGCCUUCGGGUUGUAAACUCCUUUCGACCGCGAGGAAGCCACCUGGUUGGAAGGGUGGUGACGGUAGUGGUAGAAGAAGCACCGGCUAACUACGUG
rnacentral:rRNA from 1 species